rnacentral:lncRNA from 10 species
AGUAGUGUGAUCCCCUGGCCAGUCCCUAAGCACGUGGGUUGGGUUGUCCUGCUUGGCUGCGGAGGGAGUGGAACCUCGAUAUUGGUGGUGUCCAUCGUGGGCAGCGGACUAAUAAAGGCCAUGGCGCCAGCAGAAAUCCUGAACGGGAAGGAGAUCUCCGCCCAUCUCUCUGCCCUGGUCCUAGAGUUACUUGAAACGUAAUUUGGCUCCUGAGUCCUGAGAAUAUUCUGCAUUCCACUUGACCUCUGCCUGUUCUACCCUUGCGGGACAUCUGAAUGCUUAAUUACUGCUGCCUUGAGAUCUAUUUUUUUUUUUGAGAUGAAGUCUUGCUGUGUCCAAUCUUGGCUCACUGCAACCUCUGCCUCCUGCAUACAAGCAAUUCUCUCAUAUCAGCCUCCUGAGUACCUGGGAUUACAGGCAAAUAAGGGCGAGACUGAAAAAUCAAGUCACUCAGUUGAAGGAGCAAGUACCUGGUUUCACACCACGCCUGGCAAUAUUACAGGUUGGCAACAGAGAUGAUUCCAAUCUUUAUAUAAAUGUGAAGCUGAAGGCUGCUGAAGAGAUUGGGAUCAAAGCCACUCACAUUAAGUUACCAAGAACAACCACAGAAUCUGAGGUGAUGAAGUACAUUACAUCUUUGAAUGAAGACUCUACUGUACAUGGGUUCUUAGUGCAGCUACCUUUAGAU